rnacentral:rRNA from 1 species
AUACGGAGGGAGCAAGCGUUAUUCGGAAUCACUGGGCGUAAAGGACGCGUAGGCGGGUUUGUAAGUCAGGUGUGAAAUCCUACAGCUCAACUGUAGAACUGCACUUGAAACUACAGACCUAGAGUAUGGAAGGGGCAGAUGGAAUUAGUGGUGUAGGGGUAAAAUCCGUAGAUAUCACUAGGAAUACCGAAAGCGAAGGCGAUCUGCUGGGACAUUACUGACGCUGAGGCGUGAAAGCGUGGGGAGCAAACAGCAUUAGAAACCCCAGUAGUCC